UUCCAGGUAAAUAAUCAUAUCCGUUAAUCUUGAUGUUCAAAAUCAAUGAUUGUAAAAUAUUCACAUCAGUCAAGGCAAUAUUCAAAUUUGGAUAAGCAUUAAAAUAUAUUGCACCAUAUGCCAAAGUCAAUUGUAUAGAACCAAUCAAAGAAUUUUCCAAUUUAGAUUUCUUCCAUCUCGUAAAGCAUCAACAAAACUUUCAGGUAAGCCUUUUAAUAUUAAUGGCUUGAAAGCAACUUGAACUAACCCAAUAUGCAGAUAAUUGAAAUCUUUAGAUUUAU
rnacentral:lncRNA from 1 species